UAUCAAGUCGAUGCCUGUGGUGCUCUCAUGAGCUUAAUAGGGAAUCCCGUUAAAAUCGGGAACGGACCCGCCGCCGUGAGUCCUUUAUAGUUUUGCCCCCGAGGCUGGAGUUUUUCCGGCUUGAGUGUGUCACUGAAUUUAUUUCGGGAAGGCCGGGCAAAACAGGACAAGUCGGAAGACCUGCCAAGGUGCAAAUCACGACC
rnacentral:ncRNA from 1 species